rnacentral:piRNA from 1 species
UGAUGAGAUUUGGAAAUUUUACUCCCAGC